AGUGAACGCUGGCGGUAGGCCUAACACAUGCAAGUCGAACGGCAGCACAGUAAGAGCUUGCUCUUACGGGUGGCGAGUGGCGGACGGGUGCGGAAUACAUCGGAAUCUACUUUUUCGUGGGGGAUAACGUAGGGAAACUUACGCUAAUACCGCAUACGACCUACGGGUGAAAGCAGGGGAUCUUCGGACCUUGCGCGAUUGAAUGAGCCGAUGUCGGAUUAGCUAGUUGGCGGGGUAAAGGCCCACCAAGGCGACGAUCCGUAGCUGGUCUGAGAGGAUGAACAGUCACACUGGAACUGAGACACGGUCCAGACUCCUACGGGAGGCAGCAGUGGGGAAUAUUGGACAAUGGGCGCAAGCCUGAUCCAGCCAUACCGCGUGGGUGAAGAAGGCCUUCGGGUUGUAAAGCCCUUUUGUUGGGAAAGAAAAGCAGCAGGUUAAUACCCCGCUGUUCUGACGGUACCCAAAGAAUAAGCACCGGCUAACUUCGUG
rnacentral:rRNA from 1 species